rfam:Triticum aestivum genome assembly, contig: Triticum_aestivum_CS42_TGACv1_scaffold_034616_1BL
UGAGUACUCCCUCCGUCCGCAUAUACUUGUCGGAAAAAUGAAUGUAUAUAGACAUAUUUUAGUUCUAGAUGCGUCUAUUUUUAUCCAUUUCUUUGACGUGUAUUUUCGGACGGAGGGAGUACUUU